GACGAACCGAGCGAACGUUAUUCGGAAUCACUGGGCUUAAAGGGCGCGUAGGCGGACUGCCAAGUCAGGGGUGAAAGCCCGCGGCUCAACCGCGGAAGUGCCUUUGAUACUGGCGGUCUUGAGGGAGGUAGGGGCGUGCGGAACUUCCGGUGGAGCGGUGAAAUGCGUAGAUAUCGGAAGGAACACCGGUGGCGAAAGCGGCGCGCUGGACCUCUUCUGACGCUGAGGCGCGAAAGCCAGGGGAGCGAACGGG
rnacentral:rRNA from 1 species